rnacentral:lncRNA from 1 species
GGCACCGGCGCGAGCGCGCGUGGAGGCGGCACUCGGGAGGCAGCGAUCCGGGCUGCAGGCCCUCAAGGGUCCCUCAGGAGUGCGCGACAGGGGCCGGUGGCUCCCGCGCUAUUGCAGAGUGCUCCGCAUGCUGCCAUGUCCCCAUCAUGGCUGAAGGCAGAGGCAGCAGCACAGAGGAGCCUGGAGACAGGAAGACUGAAAGUCCCCUGGAGUCCCUCUGGAUCCUGCACAGAAAGAGGACACUAGGAGCUAACGAAAUUCUUUGUGCACAGCCUGAGGAGUUGGCUUUCUGAGCCUUGGAGCUGAUGGUGUGGGACUCUGGUGUUUUUCCUGCCUUCCUGGGCUCCAAGACAUCCCAAGGAGAAAACCCCAUGCUCAGACACUUAGGCAGGACAGUUCCAGGACACUGGGAUUAAGCGGUGGUACCCGGCAGUUUCCUCAGACAGGUCGGGGCACUGCAUCCACUGCUGCUGUUAACCCGGGAGG